AUUGAACGCUGGCGGCAGGCCUAACACAUGCAAGUCGAACGAGUGGCGGACGGGUGAGUAAUGUCUGGGAAACUGCCUGAUGGAGGGGGAUCACUAAUGGACACGGUAGCUAAUACCGCCUACCAUCAGCUGUGCCCAUAUGGGAUUAGCUUGUUGGUGGGGUAAAGGCGCACCAAGGCGACGAUCCCUAGCUGGUCUGAGAGGAUGACCAGCAACACUGGAACGGAGACACGGUCCAGACGCCUACGGGAGGCAGCAGUGGGGAAUAUUGGACAAUGGGCGCAAGCCUGAUGCAGCCAUGCCGCGUGUAUGAAGAAGGCCUUCGGGUUGUAAAGUACUUUCAGCGGGGAGGCGUUACCCGCAGAAGAAGCACCGGCUAACUCCGUGCCAGCAGCCGCGGUAAUUC
rnacentral:rRNA from 1 species